UUAUCUCUCUAUUGCUUUGGUUUUCGUGCAAAUACCUACUUUUUCUUUGUAAAUUAUGGUUGUCAUAAAAGUUGUCAAACAAAUGGAUGUUCAAAUAACACUUCUCUUUCUCAUUGUCGUGCUAAUUUUGCAAGUUGUUAUUUGACCAUUGUUCUCACUCUAUCGAAUACCACAAGUGAUUCACCACUCACUAAAAUUAGAUUUCCGGUACGCGGCUGAGAGCAAAGGUUAUUAGGCG
rnacentral:lncRNA from 1 species